rnacentral:rRNA from 1 species
UACGUAGGGUGCAAGCGUUGUCCGGAAUUAUUGGGCGUAAAGAGCUCGUAGGCGGUUCGUCGCGUCGGCUGUGAAAUCCCGGAGCUCAACUCCGGGUCUGCAGUCGAUACGGGCGGACUCGAGUUCGGCAGGGGAGACUGGAAUUCCUGGUGUAGCGGUGAAAUGCGCAGAUAUCAGGAGGAACACCGGUGGCGAAGGCGGGUCUCUGGGCCGUUACUGACGCUGAGGAGCGAAAGCGUGGGGAGCGAACAGG